rnacentral:rRNA from 1 species
GAUGAACGCUGGCGGCGUGCCUAAUACAUGCAAGUCGAGCGAACGGACGAGAAGCUUGCUUCUCUGAUGUUAGCGGCGGACGGGUGAGUAACACGUGGAUAACCUACCUAUAAGACUGGGAUAACUUCGGGAAACCGGAGCUAAUACCGGAUAAUAUUUUGAACCGCAUGGUUCAAAAGUGAAAGACGGUCUUGCUGUCACUUAUAGAUGGAUCCGCGCUGCAUUAGCUAGUUGGUAAGGUAACGGCUUACCAAGGCAACGAUGCAUAGCCGACCUGAGAGGGUGAUCGGCCACACUGGAACUGAGACACGGUCCAGAUACCUACGGGAGGCAGCAGUAGGGAAUCUUCCGCAAUGGGCGAAAGCCUGACGGAGCAACGCCGCGUGAGUGAUGAAGGUCUUCGGAUCGUAAAACUCUGUUAUUAGGGAAGAACAUAUGUGUAAGUAACUGUGAAAAGCUUGACGGUACCUAAUCAGAAAGCCACGGCUAACUACGU